rnacentral:rRNA from 1 species
GUGGGGAAUAUUGCGCAAUGGGGGAAACCCUGACGCAGCAACGCCGCGUGAUUGAAGAAGGCCUUCGGGUUGUAAAGAUCUUUAAUUGGGGACGAAAUAAAUGACGGUACCCAAAGAAUAAGCUCCGGCUAACUACGUGCCAGCAGCCGCGGUAAUACGUAGGGAGCAAGCGUUAUCCGGAUUUACUGGGUGUAAAGGGCGAGUAGGCGGGCCGACAAGUCGGGAGUGAAAUCCGGGGGCUUAACCCCCGAACUGCUUUCAAAGCUGUUGGUCUUGAGUGAUGGAGAGGCAGGCGGAAUUCCCAGUGUAGCUGUGAAAUGCGUAGAUAUUGGGAGGAACACCAGUGGCGAAGGCGGCCUGCUGGACAUUAACUGACGCUGAGGCGCGAAAGCGUGGGGAGCAAACAGGAUUAGAUACCCCGGUAGUCC